UGCAAGUCGAGCGAAUGGAUUAAGAGCUUGCUCUUAUGAAGUUAGCGGCGGACGGGUGAGUAACACGUGGGUAACCUGCCCAUAGGACUGGGAUAACUCCGGGAAACCGGGGCUAAUACCGGAUAACAUUUUGAACCGCAUGGUUCGAAAUUGAAAGGCGGCUUCGGCUGUCACUUAUGGAUGGACCCGCGUCGCAUUAGCUAGUUGGUGAGGUAACGGCUCACCAAGGCAACGAUGCGUAGCCGACCUGAGAGGGUGAUCGGCCACACUGGGACUGAAACCCGGCCCAAACUCCUACGGGAGGCAGCAGUAGGGAAUCUUCCGCAAUGGACGAAAGUCUGACGGAGCAACGCCGCGUGAGUGAUGAAGGCUUUCGGGUCGUAAAACUCUGUUGUUAGGGAAGAACAAGUGCUAGUUGAAUAAGCUGGCACCUUGACGGUACCUAACCAAAAAGCCACGGCUAACUACGUGCCAGCAGCCGCGGGAAUACGUAGGUGGCAAGCGUUAUCCGGAAUUAUUGGGCGUAAAGCGCGCGCAGGUGGUUUCUUAAGUCUGAUGUGAAAGCCCACGGCUCAACCGUGGAGGGUCAUUGGAAACUGGGAGACUUGAGUGCAGAAGAGGACAGUGGAAUUCCAUGUGUAGCGGUGAAAUGCGUAGAGAUAUGGAGGAACACCAGUGGCGAAGGCGACUUUCUGGUCUGUAACUGACACUGAGG
rnacentral:rRNA from 1 species